UCUUACCACAGCUCGGUGAUCUUGGUCAGACCACAGUCCCUGAAACUGAUGUAGAAGAUUGCAUUCCCAGCCUUGAGAUUUUCCUUUGGCUUCAUGGCUUCACGAGUUUGUAAACAAAGUGGGGUCUCACGAAGAGAUGCGAUUUAUUAGUUCCUCUAUUUCGACCAUGAGUUUAUUGGUUCUCUGUCUCUCUAUACCUU